ACGUUAUUACUUAUUAGUUAUUUCUUCAUUGCUUUGAGAGUUGGAAUCUCUGCUAUUCGUAUUAUCAUAGAUCGUUUGACUAGUACACAGCCAUAUCUAUACCGUUGUGGUUUGCUUCUGUAAGGCCCUUUUCAUUGCAGGUGAUUGGACACUUGCAGUUUAUUGUUUGCUCCUCACCAUAUUUACAUAGCUCCGAUGAGUCUUCUA